UACGUAGGUGGCGAGCGUUGUCCGGAUUUAUUGGGCGUAAAGGGCGCGUAGGCGGCUCAUACAGUCAGAUGUGAAAUUCCUGGGCUUAACCUGGGGGCUGCAUUUGAUACGUGUGGGCUUGAGUGGGGAAGAGGGUCGUGGAAUUCCCAGUGUAGAGGUGAAAUUCGUAGAUAUUGGGAAGAACACCGGUGGCGAAGGCGGCGACCUGGUCCUUGACUGACGCUGAGGCGCGAAAGCGUGGGGAGCAAACAGG
rnacentral:rRNA from 1 species